AUUGAACGCUGGCGGCAGGCCUAACACAUGCAAGUCGAACGAGUGGCGGACGGGUGAGUAAUGUCUGGGAAACUGCCCGAUGGAGGGGGAUAACUACUGGAAACAGUAGCUAAUACCGCAUACCAUCGGAUGUACCCAGAUGGGAUUAGCUAGUAGGUGGGGUAACGGCUCACCUAGGCGACGAUCCCUAGCUGGUCUGAGAGGAUGACCAGCUACCCUGGAACUGAGGCACGGUCCAGACUCCUACGGGAGGCAGCAGUGGGGAAUCUUGCGCAAUGGGGGCAAGUCGGAUGCAGCCAAGCGGAGGGUAUGAAGAAGGCCUUCGGGUUGUAAAGUACUUUCAGCUAGGAGGCGUUACUCGCAGAAGAAGCCCCGGCUAACUCCGUGCCAGCAGCCGCGGUAAUAC
rnacentral:rRNA from 1 species